rnacentral:rRNA from 1 species
UGGGGAAUAUUGCACAAUGGAGGGAACUCUGAUGCAGCGACGCCGCGUGAACGAAGAAGGCUUUCGAGUCGUAAAGUUCUUUUAUAUGGGAAGAUAAUGACGGUACCAUAAGAAAAAGCCCCGGCUAACUACGUGCCAGCAGCCGCGGUAAUACGUAGGGGGCUAGCGUUGUCCGGAAUCACUGGGCGUAAAGGGUUCGCAGGCGGAAAUGCAAGUCAGGUGUAAAAGGCAGUAGCUUAACUACUGUAAGCAUUUGAAACUGCAUAUCUUGAGAAGAGUAGAGGUAAGUGGAAUUUUUAGUGUAGCGGUGAAAUGCGUAGAUAUUAAAAAGAAUACCGGUGGCGAAGACGGCUUACUGGGCUCAUUCUGACGCUGAGGAACGAAAGCGUGGGUAGCAAACAGG